rnacentral:tRNA from 1 species
UAGCUCAGUUGGGAGAGCGCUGCCUUCGCAUGGCAGAGGUCACGGGUUCGAAUCC